rnacentral:sRNA from 2 species
UUACCUGUCAAAGGGGAGUAGCCGGCCGUAAGGCUUGAUGGAGUCAACAUACUGGUGGCGAAAAAGGCCUCCUGGCUUCAUCGCUUGGCAUUGCCAAAAGGU